rnacentral:tRNA from 1 species
GGCUUGGUUGGUAGCGUCUGCCUUGUAAGCACAAGGUUGUGGGUUCGAUUCCCACCCGGGCCG